GUUAAUUUUCCCAUAGCACUCCAUGUAUACACGUAUCGCUUAUAGUGCAGUUGCGGGAAACGAAAUACCGGUUACAGUGCGGCUGCCUGGGAUCAGCGAAGACGGCGAACGCUCCCCUCAAACGGGCGCCCCAAGGAGUGCUCGAGGAAGAAAGAGAGACAAAGUGGAGGAGAAGGGCACGUGGUGCGAACGAACAGCCAGUGAGGCUGAAACCAGAAUCUUGAGUGCGAGUCGUGAAAUAUCACGGCGCGCAUAGCGAUCGAGCGCCACGAAACUGCCAACGCCGGCCAACGCCCGCUUCACAAUAACGGCAGUUAACAAAACUUCAGGGAGCGGGCAGCGCCGGCACAUCACUACUGCGAAGGGGGCACGCGGAGACCGUGGAAUUUGAGGGAGGAGGGCGGCAGGAAAGCGCAUUUCGCCUCGGCAACUCCGCCGCUUCGGUGACUACCCUCGCCCUCCCUCGUAGCUCCCUCACUUUCGAUUGUCACCGUGCGCGCCCGUCGCCGUGCAGGUGCCGCCGUUCCAGCCGGCCCGGCGCCAGCUCCCCGAAGUUUCGUUUUCUGCUGUUAUCGGGAAGCGGGCGUUCGCCGGCGUGGGCAGUUUCGUUGGCCGGCCUGGGACAGCGCCGCUGCUUCACUCUGCGCCGUAGCCGCAGCGUGCAAGGUCAACACGUGACUAGAAAGUAGAAGAAGCAUAAAGGAGAAAGAAGGGUUCACUGCCAUUUUCCACAUGUGGCUACGGUAGCGUGGCUGAGACGUCGGCGCGUACACGCAUGUUCCGGCGCAACGCAGAAUCGGCGACCUUGCCAUUUGAGAGAGGGUGAAAUUUCAGCCGCGUUUUUUUUUUCUUUUUUGUUUCGUUCGCGCGCAACAUUGAGGGGUCUCUCCUAAGCUUUUACUCUAUGGCAGUGCCGGAGCAAUGCCGGUCGGAGGCGCCGCCGCGGGAUUUGGUUUGAAUUAACGAGAUUCGACUGUAAAUUGAAUGCAAACGUUCUAGCCGCAUUCCUUGACUGUCGCAUAUGCGUGGCGGCUCGGUGCACAUGUUUUGCAUAUGUGCGGGCCUUGAAAAUGUUGCUUUGGUUAUAGCGCAGUACCGCUUAUAGUGUGGAUAUUCGCGACUCCGGCGACUUACGUUAUAAGCGGUCUACACUGUACUUGGAAAGUUGAAGUCUCUGAAAAUAAUCACAUUUGGGAAAGCGACUGAUUACGAUACUGAGUUCGUCUGAAAAUAUGCUGCUCAUUUUAGGGGGUUCAUAAAAUGUGCCUAUGAGCAGUAAGCUGAAAUCAUGUUUAGUUGUGAUCCAUAAGAAUUUUAAAAUGUAUCAAUUGGAACGUAUAAGGCAAUGAACUCCUCUUUAACAUUCCGCAGAACACCACAUUUUUGUGCUUUUGGUCACAUUGAAACCAUUUUUAAGCACAGACCAGGUACUCAAAAUGAGCAAAUUGGACACUGAGUCGUUAAUCCAGGUUUCAGUGAAUGUCAGUAGCGAUGCUGAGCAUGAAUUGAUGGUGUAUGGUAAAGCCGGAGAUUGAGAGAGCAUACUUGUAAUAUUCGUGAGGACGAAAAAGAUACUGCUCUUAUAAUAGUAGUAUGUGUGCUGAGUUGACACAGUAUGAGCAUAACGGGACGAUGGCUUCGUAUUGCAUGCGCAUCAGUCGGCAGUGCUCUAUAGAAUCUGUGUUUUGCGAUUUCCUUCAGUGCCGCACAUGUAAAUGUCACAAUUGUAAACAGCUUGUUAAUGACCAGCUUUACUCUGUCACUUUCUUUGCCUUUUGGUUUAGAGAACUGCGGAAGCUUGUGUCGUUUAUAUCGAACUGCAUCGGAAUAUUAAUAAGAAAUGCUGAGCAAAGUGUUUUGUAGCUUGUAGCAGUGCCUCAGCACCAUCUCGACUACCUUGUGAUUUAAGUAUUUUGUGAUCAUAGGUUUGCUCCUGUCUAAAGAACGACCAAAGCGGUGUACCCUGGCAACAGAAGAAACUUUUAAGCCCAAUUUACAUUUGCAGAAAUCCAGUACAAGUUCCUUAUGUGCCUUCCAUUACUCAUUUUUAUCAGCACUGGUAAGAUACUGUAAAACAAUGAAUUGCACCUAUAUGGAGCAGUUUUCUAAAUUGUCGAUUUUACUUUGAAUUCUACAGAUAUUUCUACAUGGUUAGUGGCAGCGCAUGACCUGCUUUGCAGCACAACAACCACUUGCAACAUUCUCGUCUUAAUGGAGUUAAGUGUUUCAUUCUAGUUAGGCGAAGGAGAAUGACAAGCAGUUACUUCCACUUUGGAUUCUAGUUAAGACAAGUGCACUGUAACUGCUUCUAGUUUGGUGAGGUGAAGGUGUAAUGUCUUAUUUACAGUUUCAAUAACGCUAGUGCUGUUAGCCUCAAUCAAGCAUUUGAAUGGCAUUAUGUGCAAGUUAGAAAUGUUCUUUUUGGGCUGUCACUGGCCCAGGGCUUAGCUCAAUGUCACCACAAAGGAGUAAAAGACAACACAGCUGUACAAAAUAUGCAGAAAAAUGUUUUACAGAAAUGGGUGCCACUAUGGCACUGCCAUAAGAUACACAUCAUUGCCACUAUAACUAUAGCUGCAGACAUACAGUGAACCUGCAGGAGCAUAAAAUGCUAAAUGUGACAUCCCGUGCAAAGCACUGCUGUGGCCCCUUAGGUAGCAGAUGUGAAGAUAGCACAUGGGAAGGCUGCAGCAGCAGUAAAGUUGAACUUGUUUGCUGAAGCCUGCAAUUCUCUCACUAGACACCAAAUGGCAUUUGCAGCUUGUGAAUGCAUAGGCAGCCUGCUGUUGUCGUAUAUUAUGUUGUGGUUUUGUCAUGUAGUACUUUGCAGGCAAAAGUAGUGUCUCACUGAGGCAUAUUAUCGUAGCAAGGUGCCAAUCACGCAUACUUGACUACGGUGAUGUCUGGGGAUAACAUGUGGCAAUAACGGACCGUGCUAUGCUGAAACAUGAUUGUCCCCACCCAUUUGAUUUUUUUUAACCGAAUACAGAGUCUGUAGGGCUAGGCAACCUGUGUAGACUCUGCAUGUGUUUGUUCCUCUCUCCAGUGCAGUGAGCUUGCAGUGCAACAAGUGCGUUACUUGUUUGUUGUAAUUUUGUAUGGAGAUCAUCCAAAGAAUGAGCAAAUAUUUAAGGCAUGUUUGUUUCUGUUGUUUAUUUAUUUGUUGAAGAGGCAGUGGUACUUCUGUGCCUGAAGCAUUUACCAUUAUGCUGUCAUGAAUACUCACUCUAUGAAGACAAAAUAAAUCAUCUGUUUGUUU